GACGAACGCUGGCGGCGUGCUUAACACAUGCAAGUCGAACGUGAUUUUUGUGGAAAUUCUUUCGGGAAUGGAAAUGAAAUGAAAGUGGCGAACGGGUGAGUAACACGUGAGCAACCUACCUUACACAGGGGGAUAGCCGUUGGAAACGACGAUUAAUACCGCAUGAGACCACAGAAUCGCAUGAUAUAGGGGUCAAAGAUUUAUCGGUGUAAGAAGGGCUCGCGUCUGAUUAGCUAGUUGGAAGGGUAAAGGCCUACCAAGGCGACGAUCAGUAGCCGGUCUGAGAGGAUGAACGGCCACAUUGGAACUGAGACACGGUCCAAACUCCUACGGGAGGCAGCAGUGGGGAAUAUUGCACAAUGGGGGGAACCCUGAUGCAGCGACGCCGCGUGAGCGAAGAAGGUUUUCGAAUCGUAAAGCUCUGUCCUAUGAG
rnacentral:rRNA from 1 species